rnacentral:lncRNA from 10 species
AGGCCGGGGGUCACGGCAUCCGGGGGGACGCGCAGCCGCCGCCGCGGCCCGGGGCUCGGCGGUCCAGUCUUCUGCCCGUGGCGCGGCUGGAGCGGCGGCGUCGGCAACAGAUGAAGAAGACGAGGCUUGAGAGACGAAGGAAUGAAUGAAGGGUCUCACAGCUGUUAGAAGGGUUAGAUCUUGUAUUUGGACUCAGGUCUGCCUGCCCUGGAACUUGACUCUCCCACACCUGGUGCUGGGCACACUAGGAGACGUCACAAGGCUCAGAGAUGCCACCCUUCCUAGAACGGGCGCCGUGCCUCUCUUCUCCACACACUGCAGGGGAGACAGGCACUGUGUUUUCAGAUAAGUUCCAUGUGCAUCAGGGGCUCGGUGGGAAAGGGAGGACACACUCAGAUUAGGAUUAUUCAUGGAGGAUUCUCCAAAGAGGCUAUUUGGAAAGACGGAGGGAAUGGUGAAGGAAAGCACAAGAGAAAAUGGACAGAACCGUUACUUCCUCACGCCUGAAGGGGAUGGGUUACUGGAAGCCAGGAGGAGAGUGUGAUAAGAGCCACUUUUAGAGGAGCUUUCACCUUCAGGAGAAAGUCAGGGCCCAAGAAGACCCACAGGGAGGUGACCAGGGAAUGGCAUACUUGGACUACCCUCUCUUCUGUUCCUCCACUCUCCUGCCAGGGCUCCACAUUGGAUAAACCCCUGCAGGGGCGAGUGAAACUGCCACCCAGGUUUGCCUCCCAGGGCACAGCCCAUGGAGAGCUCUAAGGCAAGUGGCAGAAAACUAGCACAGGUGCAGUGCGUCUUGCAAAGCACCCAGCCUAUGCCGGCCCUGGGCUAGAAAUGGGAAGAGAGGAGACCAUGGCACUGCCCUCAAAGAUCUUAGAGUCUGUGGAGGAGUCAGGCAGAGAGAGGGGGUGUUCCCUUGGCAAAGGACUCCAUGAGCAGAUGCAGGCCAUGGGCGACGCUCCUGCAGAAGCUUUGGGGUUUGCCGCAUGUGCCUGGAAGGAGCGCGCCCACCUUGACAUGCCUCGCCUCCUGUUGCCAUUGACAACGUGAAGGCAAACUCCUGGGGCUGGGCCUUUUUCCUUGAGAUAAAAUAUGUAUAAUUCUCUGUUAUCAAAUGAUUAUUAAACAAAAUCUAAUUGAAAAAAUAGAAAGAAGAAAAGAUAAGUCAUUUAUCAUCCUGUUCUCCAAAGACAACUGUGAACAGCUUGGUGGAACUCCUUCCAGUGGCUUUCCUUGGAGCUUUGCCUCUGUGGAUGUGGAAAACCUUAAGACCUUUGUUGGACCAACUGGGGAAGAAUUUCUUUCCUGCUCAGGCUGCUCAGCUGAUAGAGUGCUGGCCUGGAGCAGCUGAAAGACACUUUGCUGCUUUCUGGAGAAUGAAGCCACUGGGAAACCACAUAGGAGGGAAGAGAGAGACAGCUUCUCGAUGAUGUCAUCUGAACACCUGGAUCCUGCUGUGCCUGGACUUGCAGUCCCAUUGUCUACCAAUAUAGUUCAUUGAAUUCAACUUCAGCUGGAUGUCAUUCAUCUGCUUCCAGAACUUGUGUCUAAUGCAGAGCUGAAUGCAUACUCUCAGAGUUGGAAGUGGAUGCAAUCCACAAAUCUAGCACCCAAAUUUCUUUUUUCUGUUCUUUUUUUUUUUUAAUUUGAGAUGGAGUCUUGCUCUGUCACCCAGGCUGAAGUGUAGUGGCGCAAUCUCAGCUCACUGCAACCUCUGCCUCCCAGAUUCAAGCGAUCCUUCUGCCUCAGCCUCCCGAGUAGCUGGAAUUACAGGCGUGUGCCACCACGGCUGGCCUAAUUUUGGUAUUUUUAGUAGAGAUGGGGUUUCACCAUGUUGGCCAGGCUGAUAUCGAACUCCUGGCCUCAAGUGAUCUACCCCCCUUGGCCUCCCAAAGUGCUGGGAUUACAGGUGUGAACCACCAUGCCCGGCCUCAAAUUGCUUUUACAGAGGCAAGUGGCCACCGAGUCUGUGAUUGGGAUCCUCCUGUGGAGACCUGUGGAGACUCGUGGCUCACUACCUUUGAAGGCAGUGUUAGGGUAAUCUCUCCACAUUUCCCUGCUGAAAGCUCUGAGUGUUAGUAAAUUCCUUCUCAUAUUAGCUAAAAUGUAUUUUCCUGUGCCUUUUAUUCACUGAUGGGGAAUACAAGCAUUCUUUUUGAGGGUGGCCAAUGCUAGUAAUUCCCUCCAUACAGUCAGUGAUGGAUAGAGUUAACCCAUGGUUGCUGCAUGUAGUACUGUCACUUGCUGUACCACCAGGACUCAAGUUGAUGCUCAACGCAACAUUCUUUUGCAGGGCCCUUGUCCUCAGUUUCCCUUCUUUUGGGGUGGGCUGAGAGAGACAGCUUAUUCAGCAUGAAGCUGUAGUAUCUACAGUUUAGCAAAUGUCUGCGGAGCCUUUAAAGCAGUUUUUAUCAUAAUAAAAAUAUUUUAACUUAUAACCCCAGAAAGAGAUAGGCAUGGGAGUCUUUAUACAGCACAGAAAUCCAGAUGAGCAUAAUUUGAAAGUCAUUUGAAUUGUAAUGAGUAUUUUUAAUGUAAACAGGCAGGAGGAAAAACUUGCUGGGUUCUCUUGUAGCACAGACACCCAGAUAUAUGUCUUUUGAUAGUGAUAUUAAAGUGUCAAGGGUGCAUAGGAGGCUGCAGAUGUCAGCGGCAUGAAUGGGCAAGGCAAUUUCUGUGGUUGCAGGCUGGAGGUUCCAGCAGGAAUAGAAAGGCAAUCUCUGUGCUAGAUGGCCCAGGGUCACUGCAAGUCUAGCUCCUAAAUGAAAAUCAGGGACAAGAUGUGGCCUGUAACCACAGUCACUGCUCUUCGUAAGGCUGGUGGAAAGGUGAACUGGAAAGGUUUUUAGGGUUAGGGAGAUACAGGAACUCCCAAACAUCAGGCACCUGAUAGCACUCUCCACCUAACAUCUGCAUUUAUAUUGACCUAAUGCAUCUGUUCAAUUUGUCUCAUUCUUUGUGCUCACACACAUUUAUUUGAAACAAAACUUUCCAUCAUUACUAUAGGUGAAAAUCCUUGAUCACUUGCCUUGAAUACAAGAAACCAUUAUUAAAUGCAAGCUAGAUAAUUUUGCUUGUCUUACAGCCAUGAGCCUUAAGUCUGUUCCCCCCACCCCCCCCCCCCCCCGCCUUUUUUUUUUGUUAAAAAGAUGAGCAAAAUGUGAGAAUGAUGCAAAAGAGAUCCUGGUACCAAAAGAAGCCUUCUAACUGGAUAUCAUCAGAGGGACAGAAAGAAUUAAAGUAUGGACAAAUUUCUCAAA